rnacentral:rRNA from 1 species
GCGCAGCAGGCGCGAAACCUCCGCAAUACACGAAAGUGUGACGGGCCAUCCCGAGUGCCGUCCGCUGAGGACGGCUUUUCCCCAGUGUACACAGCUGGGGGAAUAAGGAGAGGGCAAGCCUGGUGUCAGCCGCCGCGGUAAUACCAGCUCUCCGAGUGGUGGGGACGCUUAUUGGGCCUAAAGCAUCCGUAGCCGGCUGGGCAAGUCCUCCGUUAAAUCCAACGAUUCAAUCGUUGGGCUGCGGGGGAUACUGUCCAGCUUGGGGGCGGGAGAGGCCGACGGUAUUCCCGGGGUAGGGGUGAAAUCCUAUAAUCCCGGGAGGACCACCAGUGGCGAAGGCUGUCGGCUAGAACGCGCCCGACGGUGAGGGAUGAAAGCUGGGGGAGCGAACCGGAUUAGAUACCCCUGUAGU